rnacentral:tRNA from 1 species
GCCCGAGUAGCUCAGUUGGUUCAGCAUCUGACUUGGGUUCAGGUUGUGAUCUCACGGUUUCAUGGGUUCAAGCCCCACGUCGGGCU